rnacentral:rRNA from 1 species
CACGCCGCGUGAGUGAUGAAGGUUUUCGGAUCGUAAAGCUCUGUUGUUAGGGAAGAACAAGUACCGUUCGAAUAGGGCGGUACCUUGACGGUACCUAACCAGAAAGCCACGGCUAACUACGUGCCAGCAGCCGCGGUAAUACGUAGGUGGCAAGCGUUGUCCGGAAUUAUUGGGCGUAAAGGGCUCGCAGGCGGUUUCUUAAGUCUGAUGUGAAAGCCCCCGGCUCAACCGGGGAGGGUCAUUGGAAACUGGGGAACUUGAGUGCAGAAGAGGAGAGUGGAAUUCCACGUGUAGCGGUGAAAUGCGUAGAGAUGUGGAGGAACACCAGUGGCGAAGGCGACUCUCUGGUCUGUAACUGACGCUGAGGAGCGAAAGCGUGGGGAGCGAACAGGAUUAGAUACCCUGGUAGUCCACGCCGUAAACGAUGAGUGCUAAGUGUUAGGGGGUUUCCGCCCCUUAGUGCUGCAGCUAACGCAUUAAGCACUCCC